UACGGGGGGAGCAAGCGUUGUUCGGAUUUACUGGGAGUAAAGGGCGCGUAGGCGGUCAGCACAAGUCAGUUGUGAAAUCUCCGGGCUUAACUCGGAAAGGUCAACUGAUACUGUGCGACUAGAGUGCAGAAGGGGCAACUGGAAUUCUCGGUGUAGCGGUGAAAUGCGUAGAUAUCGAGAGGAACACCUGCGGCGAAGGCGGGUUGCUGGGCUGACACUGACGCUGAUGCGCGAAAGCCAGGGGAGCGAACGGG
rnacentral:rRNA from 1 species